AGUGAACGCUGGCGGUAGGCCUAACACAUGCCAGUCGAACGGCAGCACAGUAAGAGCUUGCUCUUACGGGUGGCGAGUGGCGGACGGGUGAGGAAUACAUCGGAAUCUACUUUUUCGUGGGGGAUAACGUAGGGAAACUUACGCUAAUACCGCAUACGACCUACGGGUGAAAGCAGGGGAUCUUCGGACCUUGCGCGAUUGAAUGAGCCGAUGUCGGAUUAGCUAGUUGGCGGGGUAAAGGCCCACCAAGGCGACGAUCCGUAGCUGGUCUGAGAGGAUGAUCAGCCACACUGGAACUGAGACACGGUCCAGACUCCUACGGGAGGCAGCAGUGGGGAAUAUUGGACAAUGGGCGCAAGCCUGAUCCAGCCAUACCGCGUGAGUGAAGAAGGCCUUCGGGUUGUAAAGCCCUUUUGUUGGGAAAGAAGAGCAGCAUGUGAAUACCCCGCUGUUCUGACGGUACCCAAAGAGUAAGCACCGGCUAACUUCGUG
rnacentral:rRNA from 1 species